CAGGUGGUCAGGUAGAGAAUACCAAGGCGCUUGAGAGAACUCGGGUGAAGGAACUAGGCAAAAUGGUGCCGUAACUUCGGGAGAAGGCACGCUGACACGUAGGUGAAGUGGUUUACCCAUGGAGCUGAAGUCAGUCGAAGAUACCAGCUGGCUGCAACUGUUUAUUAAAAACACAGCACUGUGCAAACACGAAAGUGGACGUAUACGGUGUGACGCCUGCCCGGUGCCGGAAGGUUAAUUGAUGGGGUCAGCGCAAGCGAAGCUCCUGAUCGAAGCCCCGGUAAACGGCGGCCGUAACUAUAACGGUCCUAAGGUAGCGAAAUUCCUUGUCGGGUAAGUUCCGACCUGCACGAAUGGCGUAAUGAUGGCCAGGCUGUCUCCACCCGGGACUCAGUGAAAUUGAACUCGCUGUGAAGAUGCAGUGUACCCGCGGCAAGACGGAAAGACCCCGUGAACCUUUACUAUAGCUUGACACUGAACACUGGUCCUUGAUGUGCAGGAUAGGUGGGAGGCUUUGAAGUGUGGACGCCAGUCUGCAUGGAGCCGACCUUGAAAUACCACCCUUUAAUGGCUGGUGUUCUAACGUGGGCCCCUGACCGGGGUUGCGGACAGUGUCUGGUGGGUAGUUUGACUGGGGCGGUCUCCUCCUAAAGAGUAACGGAGGAGCACGAAGGUUGGCUAAUCCUGGUCGGACAUCAGGAGGUUAGUGCAAUGGCAUAAGCCAGCUUGACUGCGAGCGUGACGGCGCGAGCAGGUGCGAAAGCAGGUCAUAGUGAUCCGGUGGUUCUGAAUGGAAGGGCCAUCGCUCAACGGAUAAAAGGUACUCCGGGGAUAACAGGCUGAUACCGCCCAAGAGUUCAUAUCGACGGCGGUGUUUGGCACCUCGAUGUCGGCUCAUCACAUCCUGGGGCUGAAGUAGGUCCCAAGGGUAUGGCUGUUCGCCAUUUAAAGUGGUACGCGAGCUGGGUUUAGAACGUCGUGAGACAGUUCGGUCCCUAUCUGCCGUGGGCGCUGGAAGAUUGAGGGGGGCUGCUCCUAGUACGAGAGGACCGGAGUGGACGCAUCACUGGUGUUCGGGUUGUCAUGCCAAUGGCACUGCCCGGUAGCUACAUGCGGAAGAGAUAAGUGCUGAAAGCAUCUAAGCACGAAACUUGCCCCGAGAUGAAUCUUCCCUGAGCCUUUAAGGCUCCUGAAGGAACGUUGAAGACGACGACGUUGAUAGGCCGGGUGUGUAAGCGCAGCGAUGCGUUGAGCUAACCGGUACUAAUGAACCGUGAGGCUUAACCUU
rnacentral:rRNA from 1 species